rnacentral:rRNA from 1 species
CGCCUGGGGAGUACGGGUGAGGUAACGGCUCACCAAGGCGACGACGGGUAGCCGGCCUGAGAGGGUGACCGGCCACACUGGGACUGAGACACGGCCCAGACUCCUACGGGAGGCAGCAGUAGGGAAUCUUGCGCAAUGGGCGAAAGCCUGACGCAGCAACGCCGCGUGGGGGAUGAAUGCCUUCGGGUUGUAAACCCCUUUCAGCAGGGACGAAAAUGACGGUACCUGCAGAAGAAGCUCCGGCCAACUACGUGCCAGCAGCCGCGGUAAUACGUAGGGAGCGAGCGUUGUCCGGAAUUAUUGGGCGUAAAGAGCUCGUAGGCGGUUCAGUAAGUCGGGUGUGAAAACUCAAGGCUCAACCUUGAGACGCCACUCGAUACUGCGGUGACUUGAGUCCGGUAGAGGAGUGUGGAAUUCCUGGUGUAGCGGUGAAAUGCGCAGAUAUCAGGAGGAACACCAGCGGCGAAGGCGGCACUCUGGGCCGGUACUGACGCUGAGGAGCGAAAGCAUGGGGAGCAAACAGGAUUAGAUACCCUGGUAGUCCAUGCCGUAAACGUUGGGCACUAGGUAUGGGAUCAUAUCAACGGAUUCCGUGCCGUAGCUAACGCAUUAAGUGCCCCGCCUGGGGAGUACGG